AUAUUAAAGAUAGCAGCUUGACACUCAACUUUACUUACAUUAGCGCCAUCUAUAUAAUUUGCAGAACACACUUACAUCACUUGGGAAAUACUUUUGCAUUGCAGACUCAACGCUUAUAUGACAUUAUAACACUGUUAACUGAGAACUCACCGGCAUGUAUUCUUGAUCCGCCGAAUAAGACUGGACGUAUUCCUUUACAUUUUGCUUGUGAAUAUAGUCAUUCUGAAGUUGUUCGGUGUUUUUUGUCAGAAGAAUGCAGUGUAUUUGCAGAAGACCACCGAUGAGGCAGUCCUCUAUUGAAAACCGUACAUAAUGUCGCACAACAUGUAGCGCCAAUUGCUUCUCUGCUUUUAGUCGCUGGUGCGAACGCUAACCAUGUCGACCGUUUUGGGAGUACAGCACUGGUGUAUGCGAUAGGAAAUUGUGCUGAGAUAAUGCAACGCGCACCAAAAUCAAUUGAUCAAAUUUAUACAUAUGCUGUCGAUAGACGUGGAUCUGACAUUAAUGCUGUUGAUGAUCAGGGAGAAACUGCGCUUCAUAUUGCUGUUAUAGAGAAACAGGAAAAUUUAGUUCGAAAAAUAAUUUUGGGGGGAAGUGAUAUCGAUAGACGUGACAGAUUUGAUUUUACUCCAUUGCACUAUGCGUCUCUAUUUGGAAGCCAGAGACUAGUUGACUUACUCAUCACUUGCGGUGCUAAUUUACGGGACCAAAACUGGGAAAACUAUUUAACUACUUUUGAAUACUUCUUGGGAGAAAAAUUUGGAGCAAUUACGUGAAAGAUGUAUUCAACUAUUAAAUCAUGUUAUUCGUGCAGCGUCCAACUGGUGCAGUGAAAUCGGAGCAGUGUUUUCCUUUAUAGACCCAGUACCAUAUAAGGAGAUUAAAAGAAUAUCUAGAAAAAACGUUAGAAAUGUCGAAGACUCCAGUUCAUUUCGGACUACCUCCAUUAUUGGUAAAAUAUCUGCAACUUAAAAACUGAUGGAAAUACGUAAUAUGAUAUGUGUAAUAUGUAGU